rnacentral:misc_RNA from 1 species
GGAAGGAUCAUUGAAUCUAAUCAAAUCCACACACGUGAACUAACCAUGUUGGCCAUCCGGGUCUCGCAUCUGGAUUGAGAUGGGUGUAGGUUGAAAAGCCUGUGCCUGCCUCAGUCGCUGCAUCCAUGGAAAUGGCUGCGGCGUCGGUCUUUGUCUAACCAACCAACACCAAACUUAACUUAUAAAUAAUAUCGAGGGAUCAGCUUAGAGCUGGCUCUCAUAAACCAAGACAACUCUCAACAACGGAUAUCUUGGCUCUCAGAUCGAUGAAGAACGCAGCGAAAUGCGAUACGUAGUGUGAAUUGCAGAAAUACGUGAAUCAUCGAAUCUUUGAACGCAAAUUGCGCUCGAGGCUUCGGCCAAGAGCAUGUCUGCCUCAGCGUCGGGUUAAUACUCAUAUGCGCAUUCCCCGCCAGGAGUGUGUGUAUGGAGCUGACUGUCUCGGUGUAUGCCCUCUUCCGGGAGGUGUGUGAGCCGGGUCAGUUGAAGUGCAGAUGUCAAAGCAUGGACCGUUAAUCGGGCCUCUACUGGGUAGGCAACUCGUUUGCUGAAAUGCUUUAGUAGAUGGCUUGGGUACUGUCUUUGGCACAAAACAGGAGUACCUGUUCAUUCAGGUACAACCAAUACCAUUUUCUCGACCUGAGCUCAGGCAAGAUU